rnacentral:lncRNA from 1 species
CAGUCCUGAUUUCAAAUUUGUUAUCCACUUGAUGUGAUUUGAUUGUUUGAACCUAUUUUCAUUAUGGUACACCACUUGAUCAUUAUAUGAAUCGAAGAUCCGACCGAUGGGUCGUUGCCAAACUUUAAUGCAUUAUAAUAUGUAAUAUUUGAGGACAUUAGAAACUUACGGAUUGGGAAUCCGACAUACGGAUCUUCCCGAAUUGAACUUCUAAGUUUGUAAAACCAAACAUUGACCUCCUCUUAAUUUUAGCGACUGGCGGAGAUCCGACCGUUGGAUCAUUCCAAAAUUUUAAGAUAUUGUUCUAGAAGAUUAAAGAGACUCUUAGGAAGUUACGAAUCAGAAAUCCAUGAGCGGAUGUUCCAGAUCGAAUUAUAUAGGGUUGUGGAACCCUAUGUGAUAGAAAGUUGACUUUUGGUUAAUAUGUUAUGAAUUGAUCUUAAAUAUUAAAAUUAGUAAUACUAGAGACUAUGUGGGUCGUAGUAGGCCUAUAUUGGUUCGUGAGUUAUCCCAGAUAAUAUAUACCUCGAUUUACAUGUAUGGGACACCUUAUUGUGAGAUAUAUAUGUGUAUUUACUUUCUUGAUAAUAUGAAUGAUAUGUGUGAUAACUGUCAUGACAAUGUGAGCCUAAAAUCCUAUUAGAAAUAUUUUGUAGAACUUAUAUGCUUAUGUGACAUUUUAGUUAGUGGCCAUGAGAAGUUGAUAGUGCAGGUGCCUACAUUGUAUGUAACGCCCCACCCCGAAAUAUUUAUUUUCGGGAAAUAAUUCCGAUGAUAGGCCCAAUUUAAACUCUUGCUUAAUUUACUACCAUUAACCACGAGUCUUGACUUCAAUUCCUUAAUUCCUCACAAAACUAUAUCCAUAUUUUAAUUAUCAAAACAACGAUUAAAUUAUCAAUUUAAUCCCCAAAUUUCUUCUAUUAAUUUCUUAACAAAAGAUUAAUUCUCAAUUAUUUAGGGCUACAUCUAACCCUUGUUAGACUGCCUACGUACCCUUGAGUGGGAUUAAGCCUUUCAUAGUUCACCAUUAAAUCUUAAUCCAUUUUCGAUUAUAUUCCAAACAAACGAAAUAUCCAACAUUAGUUCUAAUGAUUAAAACACAUCCAAUGGGUACCAAAUUUGUAUUUAGAACAUCCAAUCGGCCCACUGGUCACGCGCCGUCGUAGAUGGCGGUUUCCAGCGAUCGAAAACUCAAUUUUUCGACUAACUCUAAAAACUACCAAAUUUUACAGGUAAGUAGAUUUGAAUGAGAGGAACAACUUUCAUACUUGGGCUGAAGUCCAAUUAGGCCAGGAAACACCUCAAAUUGCCCUUGAACCA